CUGAGACAACUGCCCUAUGGGUAGAAACUCACACCCUUGAUAACAUACCAUUUGUUGCUUUGGCGGGCCACAGGCUUUCUAGCACACCGGCUUUGGCUGGUGAGCGCCCGCCAGAGGACCUAAACUCUGAAUGUUAAUGUCGUCUGAGUAUUAUAAAAUAAUUA
rnacentral:misc_RNA from 1 species